rnacentral:rRNA from 1 species
AGUGAACGCUGGCGGUAGGCCUAACACAUGCAAGUCGAACGGCAGCACAGUAAGAGCUUGCUCUUACGGGUGGCGAGUGGCGGACGGGUGAGGAAUACAUCGGAAUCUACUUUUUCGUGGGGGAUAACGUAGGGAAACUUACGCUAAUACCGCAUACGACCUACGGGUGAAAGCAGGGGAUCUUCGGACCUUGCGCGAUUGUAUGAGCCGAUGUCGGAUUAGCUAGUUGGCGGGGUAAAGGCCCACCAAGGCGACGAUCCGUAGCUGGUCUGAGAGGAUGAUCAGCCACACUGGAACUCAGACACGGUCCAGACUCCUACAGGAGGCAGCAGUGGAGAAUAUUGAGCAAAGGGCGCAAGCCUAAUCCAGCCAUACCGCGUGGGUGAAGAAGGCCUACGGGUUGUAAAGCCAUUUUGUUGGGAAAGAAAAGCAGCAGGUUAAGACCCCAAUGUUCUGACGGUACCCGAGGAAUAAGCACCGGCUAACUACGUG